CGUAGCGUGUGAGAAGCUCAAUUUCUCGAACAGCUUUUUACUUUUUAGUUCCAAACUAUACUUUCGAAACGCAGUAAUUUUAUAUUAGAUUUUUUACUUGGAAAUUAUGAAAUUAAAAACGCUUACGAAUACUAGGAGUAUUUAUUUAAAGUAUUCAUUAAUAUAUAAAUGACGAAAAAGUUAAGAAUUUGCAUUUUAUAGCCUACUCUGUCUUAGGUAUCUAUGUAUGAAAUAUUUACUUUCCUAAAAAUCGUUCUUUGAUUUGGCUGAAUGAUACAAGCAUAUGCCUAGAAAAAAAUAGUUUAAAAGCAAAUCAGCCCGCCCUUUUGAAAUAACUUCUAACAUUAUUUAAACACAUUAACGCAUAUAAAUAUAUAAUUUGGUACGAGAAGAAGAAGAAAAAUAUUGAAAAUGAGUGAUUCAAACAUUGAUAUGACACCACCAGACAUUCGUGCUAGAGCAGCAAUUGCCAAUGACUGUGUUAUUCCAGAAAAAUCUAAAAACCAAUAUAAUGCCGUCUAUGUAAAAUUUAUCGAGUGGAAAACCUUACAUAACGCAAAGUCUUUUUCAGAGACUGUUUUGAUGGCCUAUUUUCAAGAGCUGUCUGAAACCUAUCGGCCAUCAACAUUAUGGUCAAAAUAUUCUAUGUUGAAAGCUGUUAUAAAGUUAAAACAUGACAUAGAUAUAAAAACUUACACCAGAUUGACUGCUUUCUUAAAAAGGCAAAGUGCAGGAUUUCAGAGUAAAAAAUCGAAGGUACUAACAGCUGAACAAAUUGAGACGUUUAUUAAUGAAGCUCCAGAUCAGCAACAUCUAGCUACAAAGGUUGCUCUUUUAUUUGGAGUCUGUGGCGCAUGCAGACGCGAAUCAGUAAAAGUAUCAGUAAAAGAUAUAGAAACACAUGGGGACAUACUUCUUGUCAAAAUACCAAAUACAAAAAAUAAAAUUCCCAGGUCCUUCACUAUUGACGGCCCAUUUGCAGAAAUAGUCAAGAAAUAUCAGAGUCUGCGGUCUUCUAAGGGCAAAAGUGACCGUUUCUUUAAGAAUUUUCAAAGAGGAAGGUGCACUGCCCAUUUUUAAACAAGUUUGGGAAUAUGCCGAGAGAUAUCGCUCAGUACUUAAAUUUGCCUGAUGCAAAUCUUUACACCGGACAUGCAUUUAGGAGAACCUCUGCUACAUUACUUGCCGACUCAGGAGCAGACAUAACAACUUUGAAGAGGCAUGGAGGUUGGCGGUCAAGUAAUGUAGCAGAAGGAUACAUAGAAAACU